rnacentral:rRNA from 1 species
UACGUAGGGUGCGAGCGUUAAUCGGAAUUACUGGGCGUAAAGCGUGCGCAGGCGGUUUCGUAAGACAGACGUGAAAUCCCCGGGCUCAACCUGGGAACUGCGUUUGUGACUGCGAGGCUAGAGUACGGCAGAGGGGGGUAGAAUUCCACGUGUAGCAGUGAAAUGCGUAGAGAUGUGGAGGAAUACCGAUGGCGAAGGCAGCCCCCUGGGUUAGUACUGACGCUCAUGCACGAAAGCGUGGGGAGCAAACAGGAUUAGAUACCCGGGUAGUCC